CUGUUUGCGAUACACAGUAAGCGGCUGAGCGAAAGCAUUAAGUGAUCCACCUGGGGAGUACGAUCGCAAGGUUGAAACUCAAAGGAAUUGACGGGGGCCCGCACAAGCGGAGGAACAUGUGGUUUAAUUCGAUGAUACGCGAGGAACCUUACCUGGGCUUAAAUGUAGAUUGCAUAGAUUGGAAACAGUCUUUCUCUUCGGAGCUAUUUACAAGGUGCUGCAUGGUUGUCGUCAGCUCGUGCCGUGAGGUGUCGGGUUAAGUCCCAUAACGAGCGCAACCCUUACCGUUAGUUGCCAUCAGGUGAUGCUGGGGACUCUAGCGGGACUGCCACCGUAAGGUGAGAGGAAGGUGGGGAUGACGUCAAAUCAGCACGGCCCUUAUGUCCAGGGCUACACACGUGUUACAAUGGUCGGUACAAAGGGCAGCUACACUGCGAAGUGAUGCUAAUCCCAAAAGCCGAUCCCAGUUCGGAUUGGAGUCUGCAACCCGACUCCAUGAAGUUGGAUUCGCUAGUAAUCGCGCAUCAGCCAUGGCGCGGUGAAUACGUUCCCGGGCCUUGUACACACCGCCCGUCAAACCAUGGAAGCUGGGGGUGCCUGAAGUCUGUGACCGAAAGGAGCGGCC
rnacentral:rRNA from 1 species